AGCGAACGCUGGCGGCAGGCUUAACACAUGCAAGUCGAACGGGCUUCUUCGGAAGUCAGUGGCAGACGGGUGAGUAACACGUGGGAACGUGCCCUUCGGUUCGGAAUAACUCAGGGAAACUUGAGCUAAUACCGGAUACGCCCUUUUUGGGGAAAGGUUUACUGCCGAAGGAUCGGCCCGCGUCUGAUUAGCUUGUUGGUGGGGUAACGGCCUACCAAGGCGACGAUCAGUAGCUGGUCUGAGAGGAUGAUCAGCCACACUGGGACUGAGACACGGCCCAG
rnacentral:rRNA from 1 species